rnacentral:rRNA from 1 species
UGCCAGACUCCUACGGGAGGCAGCAGUGGGGGAUAUUGCACAAUGGGGGGAACCCUGAUGCAGCGACGCCGCGUGGGUGAAGGAGCGUUUCGGCGCGUAAAGCCCUAUCGGCAGGGAAGAAGAUGACGGUACCUGACCAAGAAGCCCCGGCUAACUACGUGCCAGCAGCCGCGGUAAUACGUAGGGGGCAAGCGUUAUCCGGAUUUACUGGGUGUAAAGGGGGCGCAGACGGCAGUGCAAGUCUGGAGUGAAAGGCGGGGGCUCAACCCCCGGACUGCUCUGGAAACUGUACGGCUGGAGUGCAGGAGAGGUAAGUGGAAUUCCUAGUGUAGCGGUGAAAUGCGUAGAUAUUAGGAGGAACACCAGUGGCGAAGGCGGCUUACUGGACUGUAACUGACGUUGAGGCUCGAAAGCGUGGGGAGCAAACAGGAUUAGAUACCCCCGUAAA